rnacentral:rRNA from 1 species
UACGUAGGGGGCUAGCGUUGUCCGGAAUCAUUGGGCGUAAAGCGCGCGUAGGCGGCCCGGUAAGUCCGCUGUAAAAGUCAAAGGCUCAACCUUUGGAUGUCAGUGGAUACUGCCGGGCUAGAGUCCGGAAGAGGCGAGUGGAACUCCUGGUGUAGCGGUGGAAUGCGCAGAUAUCAGGAAGAACACCGACGGCGAAGGCAGCUCGCUGGGACGGUACUGACGCUGAGACGCGAAAGCGUGGGGAGCGAACAGG